rnacentral:rRNA from 1 species
CAAGUCGGACGGUAGCACAGAGGAGCUUGCUCCUCGGGUGACGAGUGGCGGACGGGUGAGUAAUGUCUGGGGAUCUGNCCGAUAGAGGGGGAUAACCACUGGAAACGGUGGCUAAUACCGCAUAACGUCGCAAGACCAAAGAGGGGGACCUUCGGGCCUCUCACUAUCGGAUGAACCCAGAUGGGAUUAGCUAGUAGGCGGGGUAACGGCCCACCUAGGCGACGAUCCCUAGCUGGUCUGAGAGGAUGACCAGCCACACUGGAACUGAGACACGGUCCAGACUCCUACGGGAGGCAGCAGUGGGGAAUAUUGCACAAUGGGCGCAAGCCUGAUGCAGCCAUGCCGCGUGUAUGAAGAAGGCCUUCGGGUUGUAAAGUACUUUCAGCGGGGAGGAAGGCAAUGAGGUUAAUAACCUUNCUGAUUGACGUUACCCGCAGAAGAAGCACCGGCUAACUCCGUGCCAGCAGCCGCGGUAAUACGGAGGGUGCAAGCGUUAAUCGGAAUUACUGGGCGUAAAGCGCACGCAGGCGGUCUGUUAAGUCAGAUGUGAAAUCCCCGGGCUUAACCUGGGAACUGCAUUUGAAACUGGCAGGCUUGAGU